rnacentral:lncRNA from 1 species
AGCAGUUGAGCCCAAGGCCACGUUUUCAUUUCCCGGAGCUCGCAUGUGGGCUGACCCAUUUCCUUGGGGGCCUAUCUUAUGAACCUGGCUCUGGCAUUGCUCUGUAAGGGAAUUUCAGAGAGCAGGGUCAUUUGAUCCCGGGGGACUCUCCUCCAGACCAUCUAUAGAAUGGAUUAGUUGAUGGACACCAGUCAUGAAGAAGCUGAUCUCUGAGAGAUGAGUAUGAAAAUGCACAUUGCUGGUAUCCAGCAUCUUCCGGCCUCAGGGCGAUGAUCAAUCUUCAUGAAAUGGAGAUGCCAGAGGAUGUUUUUGUCUUCUGUGAAACCCUGACAGUUCAACUUGGUGAGGAUUAUCAAACAUCAGCUGUUUACUACAGGAACAAUGCUGUGCCCUAGUAAUACUGAUGGCCCCAAGGACCUGCAAGGGUUUGGCUCUAAGACUCCCCUCCAAAAUCCUUCGAUGUAUGAGACCCUUAUAUAAAACGAUAUGGGAAGCUGGCAAGCUGUCGUAAACAAAUCCCACACAUUUGUAUCCUUUAAAUAGUCUCUGGAUAUCUUAAGGUAUCUAAUACACUAUGAGAACUAUA